GAGGGGGAGACAGACGUGUGAGCUGCAAACUCGCCCUGGGAUUCCAUUGUGUGCGCAGGGCUGGGAGGGAGGCCCGGAGAUGCCGGACUCCUCCUCCUGUCCCUUCAUCCAAUCCCCAGGCACUUGCUCAGCGCCCAGUUGGAAGUUAAAGAUUCAGAGAAUAAUUGGUCAUCCCUGACCUCAGCGAGCUCGCAAUUUAGGGAAGGGAGCAAGACAGGUGACAGGUGACAAGUAAGAUACUUUUAAAUAGCAUGGUGCUAGAGACAUGCUCAGCUUGUUGGGAGAGUAUAAAGGGAAGUUGUGUGUUUUUUAAAAAUUUUUAUUUCUUUUUACAAAUAUUGGUUUGUUGCCCUUUGAAAGAAAUAUGGAAGCAAUUCUUUGGCCGACAGCACUUGACUGCCUCAUGGCCCUCCCUGCCUUUUUGCCAGAAAUCGCAUCAUUAGAAAGUCUUUCUUAGGCUAGAACAUUGCUUUCUUUAUGUGUCUUUUACAAUGCAGGGCGUGAGACCAUCAGUGCCCACACCUGGGUGGCUUUCCUCAGAAGCAGAGGUGGGCCUUCCAGGUGUGGCUCUUGAGAAGGAGAAGAAGGAAGCAGAGAGGAGAGGUGGCCAUCCAGGACGGGCAGGGGACCUGGCUUUUAUCCAGGGCAGUCUGCGGGAUCUUCAGCACUCGCAGCUCCCCGGGCUCCGGAGCCCGCAGGGCCUGGGCCAGGCAGGGCUUUGAAAGCCACAUCCUGCCUCGGAGCUCAUUCCGCCUGGAUGGGGCCCCAGGGAAGGAUGAGCAGGCUUACAUGUAUGCCAGCACCCCAGCAGGGCCUCCACCCGCCACCCGCCACCGUGCUGGCCCAGGGCCAGGGCCACCGAGAGCCGGCUCCAAAAUCCUGUCUGCUGUCUGCCUCCCGGGACUGCUCCGGCCCCAGCCGUCUCAGGACCACACGACAGCAUCCUGACCAGCCCGUAUUGUUGGGCGCUCCAGUCGCUGCAGUGCUGGAAAGUCUCGUCACCUCUUCAGAGCAGGGCCACACCACACCUCCAUGGGGCGGCAGUCCUGGGGAGACGGAGCUCCGUGAGCCUGUGAGCCCCAGAGCCCCGACAGCUGACGGCUCGCAUGGCGAGGAUGCUGAGCAGAGGACAGUGCUCCCAGGCCUAGAUGACAUCACGGACCCCAGGGACCCGCCUGUCAGUGGAGGAGGAACAUGCAGGUUGUCCAGCCCCCUGGAGCCUGGCCUGGGUUCCUGCUGCCCUGCUGUCUCUCUAGAACAGUUCAGGGGGGUCCUUUCCAUCCUAACAGCGUUCUGACAUCUGCAGAAUCUGGGAGGCAUCAAGGGCCUGGCCGGCUGCUAACAUAUCAGGUUCCCACAACAGUUUGACUAGGUAUCUAUCAUACUUCCGAUUUCAUGGAUGAGGGAACCAAAGUCCAGAGAGGCUGAGGAACUUCAAGGCUCCAUAGCUACUCACGGAUGGAGAUGAGACUUAAACAGAGCUCAUCAUUAUUGACCAGGACGCUGCACGAAAUUCCUUGUUUAAAAGACGUAUUUGUUUUAUCUGGAGUGCCU
ensembl:lncRNA